rnacentral:tRNA from 4 species
GCAUCAGUAGCUCAGUUUAAGAGCGCCAGUCUUGUAAACUGGAGGUCGGGGGUUAAAGUCCCCCCUUACGCU